ACACACACACACACACACACACACACACACAAUGAAAAGUUUGAAAAAGAGUUGCCAUGUGCAGGCUGUUUGGUCUCCUGACAGUUACCAUAGGUCUUGACUCAGAAAAUUCAUAUAAGCUGCCUUACUAAUGAGACUUUCUAUACAACAAAGUGAGGUCAUUCUUUGUUAAUUUAUGCCAUAAGUUGCUGGCUAUCAUGUGUGUGAAGAUACCCUAAACUUAACCUAACCUAACCUAACAAAACCACAAACAGUUACCAUAGGUCUUGACUCAGAAAAUUCAUAUAAGCUGCCUUACUAAUGAGACUUUCUAUACAACAAAGUGAGGUCAUUCUUUGUUAAUUUAUGCCAUAAGUUGCUGGCUAUCAUGUGUGUGAAGAUACCCUAAACUUAACCUAACCUAACCUAACAAAACCCCAAACAGUUACCAUACGUCUUGACUCAGAAAAUUCAUAUAAGCUGCCUUACUAAUGAGACUUUCUAUACAACAAAGUGAGGUCAAUCUUUGUUAAUUUAUGCCAUAAGUUGCUGGCUAUCAUGUGUGUGAAGAUACCCUAAACUUAACCUAACCUAACCUAACAAAACCACAAACAGUUACCAUACAUCUUGACUCAGAAAAUUCAUAUAAGCUGCCUUACUAAUGAGACUUUCUAUACAACAAAGUGAGGUCAUUCUUUGUUAAUUUAUGCCAUAAGUUGCUGGCUAUCAUGUGUGUGAAGAUACCCUAAACUUAACCUAACCUAACCUAA